rnacentral:lncRNA from 13 species
GACAGAAUAUAACCUAUAACAUACUUACCUUGUUCCAGCAUUCAUGACCUCGGUCAUUCAAAAUGACCUCAGGAGAACCGUGGGUGUUGAAGAUGUCCACUAUUGCCUUGGCCUCGCUAGUCUCAGCACCCCGGACCCUGGCUGAAGCCCUACAAGCCCUGCCCUCUGCUGUGGCCCGUCCCUCCCAAAAGGAUGUCCCAAAGCCUCCGACACCUCCAAGCCCUGUCUCUGUCAUUGUUGCUUUGCCUGCUGUGGAGUACUUACCAUACCACCGCAGCCCUCGCCUGGCCCCAAUCACCAACCUGAGUGAGAACGGCAAGAAGCUGCUCCAGAAAAUGUCAGGAGUGACGCCACAGGUGAGAGGAAACAGGAAGGGAAUAUUGGCCAUAUUUCCUUCUACAAUAUAUCAUACCUCUAGAUAUCAUAGCUCAAGAUUAGAAAAUAGCCAUAAGCUUAUAUUACUUGAUCUCCUUGUCCAAAAUAUUCAGGAAGGGAAGGUCAAAAGGAAAAAGACCAAGGGGAAAAAGCAAGUGAAGAAAGAGAAGGCCAGUAAGAUGCAGCAGGUGGAAAAUGUUGGAGAAAGUAAGGAGGACAAGAAAGAGGAAAAGAAGAGUCUGAGGAAGAGGUUUCUCCAGUGGCUGCUGCCCAAACUGAGAUGUUCGAAGAAAUAAUGGCCAACUACUACUACAACACACACACACACACACAUACUCACAGAGAUUUUGAGUAUUGCUUACUCCUCCAACACACAGCAAAAUACACAUAAUGAUAUUGGUCUCUUUGUUAUAUUUUCAGACAUGCACCAUUAUUAAAAAAAUAAAAAAAGACCCAAUAAUUAUAUUGGUUCCCAUACAGCCUACUAGGGUAGCGUAUGAUAAUGGGUUGGAUUUACAUAGCGUGUAGUUAUCAGGCUUGGAAAUAUAGCCAGGAGAUGCAGGGUCAACACCCCUACUCAUGUCAUAAGUGCCAUGAGAUGUUUAGUGACCACAGAGAGAUAGGACCUCUGUGUGCACAGUCUCAUCCGAAGGACAGCACCGGCCGCAGGGCAGUGUCUGGCAUUGGGGUCUUAGGUCUUCUUUGGCCAAAGGGAAGUGAAGAGGGCCAGUAUGAGAGAGCAAGAACUUUCUUAGCAGAUAAUGAUAACAUGACAACAGUAGCUGUAGAUGAUGUAAUGAAAAGUUGGAGGGUGGUUGGUAAUGGAGAACGUCAGGUGGAUCCACGUCUGGGUGUUGGGCAGGACCCCUAGCUCCUGGAGAACAGGAGCAGAGUUCAAGGGAACAGGGUAGGAGACAGAGACGUAAACACUCCGGUAGCUCUCCUUCUGUUUCUCCUGCGCCUUGUCCAUGUUCUGUCUCACCUUGAUUGAUGACAGGAAUACAUGCAAUUAUAUUUCAUAUUACAAAUACAUUUCUUACAUAUCUCUUGGAGGGACAGAAAAUAAAUUAACAGCAGACAAUCAUUUUUACCUGGUCAAAAACCUCCACGUCCUUCUCAGUCUGUGCCUGAAGGUAGUACUCAAAGGCGUUCCGAUCUGGUUCGACAACUUCCACCACAUCAGGUGGGGUUUCAGUGAUCUGAAAGUACGUUAUGCAAAAAUAGCAAUAGACAAACACUAAGUCAAUCCCAAUUUUGAAAGACUACAGUAAAUGCAAUAAUUGUAUAUACAAUUGCAUUGUUUACCUCAGUCAACAGCUGCGGCUCCUGUCCAUACUCAGCCUGGAUGCUGCUGUUGUGUGCAAAGAGAAUUAAUUACCUUCAGGUUGUUCUCCCACCCUUCCUGAUACCAAUCAAGGGACUUGCCCAUGGCAGUCUUGAGGGUCUGGUUGGUCAUUCACCAAACCUGGAGGAGGGGGUAGGAAAGCAAUAUCUAUUGACAAUGUACUUUAAGAUAUUGAAAUAUAUCUGAUUGUGUACCAUGGAAAAACAAAAACAAAUUGUAAAAAAUAAAUAUAACAAACCAUUGGUGACAGAAUAUAACCUAUAACAUACUUACCUUGUUCCAGCAUUCAUGACCUCGGUCAUUCAAAAUGACCUCAGGAGAACCGUGGGUGUUGAAGAUGUCCACUAUUGCCUUGGCCUCGCUAGUCUCGUCCUUGAUGGUUAUCAUACAAAACAAAAAUCUUUUUUUGGUUCCAACCACCCUUUUAAAUGGUUACAGAAGGGAAUUUAGAGUUAAGCACGUACACUUCCUUUACUGACCUUAAUGGGUAUGAUCAGUCGCCGUCAGACACCAACUGUUGCCACUCAUGGAUUUCGUGAAGGGUUCGAUGAGGUCCACUCCUAACAUUUAAAGUGUUAGAGAGAUUUCAAUCAAAUGUAUUUAUAAAGCCCUUUUUACAUCAGCCGAUGUCACAAAGUGCUAUACAGAAACCCAGCCUAAAACCCCAAACAGCAAGCAAUGCAGAUGUGGAAGCACGGUUGCUAGGAAAAACUCCAUAGAAAGGAACCUAGGAAGAAACCUAGAGUGGAACCAGGCUCUGAGGGGUGGCCAGUCCUCUUUUGGCUGUACCGGGUGAAGAUAUAACAGUACAUGGCCAAGAUGUUCAAACAUUCACAUCAGGUCUGGGACAGGUAGCACGUCCAGUGAACAGGUCAGGGUUCCAUAGCCGCAGGCAAAACAGUUGAAACUGGAGCAGCAGCAUGACCAGGUGGACUGGGGACAGCAAGGAGUCAUCAGGCCAGUUAGUCCUGAGGCUUGGUCCUAGGGCUCAGGUCCUCUGAGAGAAGAGAACGAGAAAGAGCGAGAGAAUUAGAGGGAGCAUACUUAAAUUUACACAAAACACCAGAUAAGACAGGAGAAAUACUCCAGAUAUAACAGACUGACCCUAGCCCCCUGACAUAAAUUAUUUCAGCAUAAUUACUGGAGGCUGAGACAGGGCCAACCAGGCAGGAUAUAACCCCACCCACUUUGACAAAGUACAGCCCCCACCAACUUACUAUCCUGAGACAAGGCCGAGUAUAGCCCAUGAAGAUCUCCCCUACGGCACGACCCCGAGGGGGGAACCAACCCGUACAGGAAGAUCACGUCAGUGACUCAAACCACUCAAGUGACGCACCCCUCCUAGGGACGGCAUGGAAGAGCACCAGUAAGCCAAUGACUCAGCCCGGUAAUAGGGUUAGAGGCAGAGAAUCCCAGUGGAGAGAGGGGAAAAUACUUAAAGGUCGAGACUGAGUCUGCUUCUCACAUGGAUAGUCAGACCAUUCCAUAACAAUUGAGCUCUAUAGGAGAAAGCCUUGCCUCCAGCUGUUUGCUUAGAAAUUCUGGGGACAAUAAGGAGGCCUGCGUAUUGUGACCGUAGCGUACGUGUAGGUAUGUACGGCAGGACCAAAUCGGAAAGAUAGAUAGGAGCAAGCCCAUGUGAAGCUUUGAAGGUUAGCAGUAAAACCUUGAAAUCAGCCGUAGCCUUAACGGGAAGCCAGUGUAGAGGCUAGCACUGGAGUAAUAUGAUCAAAUGUUUUGGUUCUAG